GCAAGCACUGAUGUGUGUCUGCAGGGGGACAAGGACCCUCUGGGAGGGCCAAGGGAAUAGAGCAUCGUCAGACGGACCAGCAAGCACGACAGCAUUCUGUUUAUGGAGACUUGGGCAGAAGUGAGGAGAGCAUCCAGACUCCAUGGGGAUCCUCAGAAGGUUCCAGAACUGGGGACACUUGAUUUGGAUCUUAAACAAACAAAAACACAAGCCAGUGUUGAAAAGGGAGGAGGAAGAAUGUUCUGGAAGAACUCAUCAGAGAGACACAAAUUGAGCGGAGAGGAUGCUAAGUGGGGCCCGUGGUUUGGAGGAAUGCCUGAUUUGAUUGGCAGAGAUAAAUGGAGACUUGUGCCUGGAUUUGAGCCUUUCGGCUGUGGCCACUGCCAGGGGCCAGUCGCCCCAUUUCUGGCUUUGGAGAGCCCUGUAAGCUGAAGGAACAAGCUGUGCCCACAAGGACAGGUGUCAGGUCUUGUUUGCUGGAUGGGGGAAGCCACCACACUGUUCCCAAGGGAUGCAUGUGGUUCUGGAAGCUGCUUCUAAAGACCUGUAAACAGAGGGGGAGCUGUCCUGCUUGGGAGUCCAUGACACCCCUGGGAUCCCAUGCUGGCCAGGCUGACCUGAAGGCUUUCUGCAUGAGUCCUGUGAGAUCUCGCUGAGUGCUCUCUGGAACCAGGAUACCCGUGUCACGUGCAUGGUGCCAGAGGACACUCUGCCAUUCUCCGGUGGCCUGACAAGCCAAGAAUGACUUUUGAGCAGCUAGAACCAUCGCCCCCCCCUGCCCCCAGAGGCAACCUUGAUGGUGGCUAAGAAAGAGGAUUUGGAGCUCAUGUAAGUUUGCUCUACAACUUUGCCACUGGUGACGUCUCUGCACCCCAGCUUCCUGCGCUUUUGUAAGAUGUGACAGUGGCCACCCCACCUCGUAAAGUCUUGGAAGAAGCAUAAAGGAGCACGAUUGUGUGAAAGGCCCUGGCUCCCUGCUCUCCCCGUGUCCAGGGCGUCCUUUUCAUGGGCUCCCUAGCGUCUUGGUUGUCUUGUUCUCGGGUACAGGAUGGCUCUGCUGUAAAGGCCUGUGUCCGCAUGCUACUGAGCUGAGCACCCCGAUCCUAGUGGGCUCUGGAUGAAUACUGGAUCAGUGAAUGAAACUCCUCCCCUGGCCAGUCAACAGGAGGUUUCCGGAAAAGGGAAUCCCAGAGCAGUGCCCUCCCCUGUGAUUCCCGGUGGUCUUUCAAAGCUGGACUUUCCACAGUUUCCUUCCUGCUGUGGGUGUGGCUGGGAGUCUGCAGGGUCUUAGAACAAGGACCCUGGGAGAACAGGGCAGUGUGAGGAGCAAGGGCUUCAAAAGCCAGGAGGUGGAGGAGGGCAGCUCCUGGAGGACACCGGCUUCCAAAUCAGGACCGAAACCACUUUGCCAGUGGUCUUGAAGUGCGGCUUGGAAAAGGGAGCCUCCUGGGUUGCUUCUUCUGGUAAAUGGAAUCCUGUUUUUCACUGCCGGCGGACGUCAUAAGCCACGUGCCCAGAUGAGCAAACUUUCUGGUUAGGCUUCAGCGCUACAACCCUGAGGACAGCAGGGACCACAUCCACUUUUUCUUGCCCCAUCUAACACCUCGAGGUGUUCCAGGGCAGUCUGGCCUUGCUCAGGCUUGCAGGACAGCAUGCAACGCACUGUACAAACACACACACACACACACACACACACACACAACACACACACACACACAACAAAAAACCACAGGGCCUGGAAGUGAUAGGAACCCUGAGAAGGGUGUUCGUCUGCUGUGGAGAAAGGCCGGGAACUUUCUUUGUUGAUACUGUCAAAUGUAUAACGACCACCUUGUGGUCACAAUGGCCACCAGGCAGCCCAGAAGAUCUCUUUGGCUCUCCGUGCUAGAAGCUGCCCCUCCACCAUCUUUGUUAAAGGGCCUUGCUGCUUUGUGUAAUACUAAGGCAGGCAACUACCGCCACCUCGGCCUCUUGCAACAGCAGGUGCGUGCUCCAUCUAGCUGACACGCCCCAUGCAGCUCACACACAGAGGAUGCUAUACGUUUCUCAAGGCAAACCGCCGAAGAUUGGUUCCUCUUCAGGCAGAGCUGGAUCCAGUUACCCACAAGAUGAAAAGCUGUGGAUUCCUUCCAGACUAAUAUGGUUUGAUCAAGCAAGACCCCCUGAAGCAGUGGCCAGGUGGUCCAACAUCCAAAGCAACUGGAACGAUGCAGCCUUGCAGACCGCUACAGCCAGGAGUUGGACACGAUUCUGGGUUUCUCAGGAUCCCUUUGGGAUUGACAGCACCCACAAACAGCAGGAAGCAGUUUGGAAAGAGCUACGCCCACAUUCCCAAAUACAUUCCCAAAUAUUGUUUAUAAAUGUUUGUUUUCACUUAAACAGGGCUGGUUAUAAAUGGUUAUGGUCACAGUCAAUCUCUUUCUAAAGAAAAAAAGGGAAUGUGAUAUAGAAACGAAUACCUUGCUUUGGUAUGGAUUUUGGUUUAUUGAUACAAAUUUAAGGUCAGUUUUG